GGCGGCGUGCUUAACACAUAGCAAGUCGAACGCGAAAGGGACUUCGGUCCUGAGUAAAGUGGCGGCACGGGUGAGUAACGCGUAGAUAACCUGUCUUCAUGUCUGGAAUAAUAACGCCGAAAGGGGUACUAAUACCGGAUAUUCUUGCUUUUCAUAAGUUAUGCAAGCAAAGGUGGCCUCUGCAUAUGCUACUGCAUGAAGAGGGGUCUGCGUACCAUUAGCUAGUAGGUGGGGUAAUGGCCUACCUAGGCGACGAUGGUUAGCGGGUCUGAGAGGAUGAUCCGCCACACUGGCACUGGAACACGGGCCAGACUCCUACGGGAGGCAGCAGUGAGGAAUAUUGCGCAAUGGGGGAAACCCUGACGCAGCGACGCCGCGUGAGUGAGGAAAGGCCUUCGGGUCGUAAAGCUCUGUCAAGAGGAAAGAAGUGUACAAUGGCUAAUACCUGUUGUAUUUGACGGUACCUCUAAAGGAAGCACCGGCUAACUCCGUGCCAGCAGCUGC
rnacentral:rRNA from 1 species